rnacentral:rRNA from 1 species
CUCAGCCGCCGCGGUAAUACCAGCUCUCCGAGUGGUGUGGAUGUUUAUUGGGCCUAAAGCAUCCGUAGCUGGCUAGGUUAGUCCCCUGUUAAAUCCACCGAAUUAAUCGUUGGAUUGCGGGGGAUACUGCUUGGCUAGGGGACGAGAGAGGCAGACGGUAUUUCCGGGGUAGGGGUGAAAUCCUAUAAUCCCGGGAAGACCACCAGUGGCGAAGGCUGUCUGCUAGAACGCGCCCGACGGUGAGGGAUGAAAGCUGGGGGAGCGAACCGGAUUAGAUACCCGGGUAGUCCCAGCUGUAAACGAUGCAGACUAGGUGUUUGGACGGCCACGUGCCGUUCUAGUGCCGCAGGGAAGCUGUUAAGUCUGCCGCCUGGGGAGUACGAUCGCAAGAUUGAAACUUAAAGGAAUUGCGGGGGAGCACA